UUGUGACGCCUUGCCCAAAUCCAAAUCCUCCUUCCUCUCUAAUCUGGUAGUAUUACCACUAAAAUCCAACCGAUAAAUGAUUGGAUAAAGCUCCGGCUUCUCCACCACGUGGCGAUCCCCCGUUUGCCCCUGCGAGGCGAUGCGGACACGGAAUGCAAGGCUGGCGAGGAGACGGGCAAAAGCAAGAAGAGAACAUCCACCCACCGAGUUGCCUCUUGAUCAAGGAGCCGAUGGUGGAUGGAGGAGCCGCCGCCGAGUGCCGCUGCCCUACGUCAGGUGGUGCUUAAAGCGAAGGCCGACACUCGGUCUCCGUGCUCCGUUCAAGAUUCCGGCGUCGGUUGCGUGCUGCUUGGGGGUCGCUCCGGUCCAUCACCAAGGCUAGGUGUUUGUGGAAUUGCCUACCUCCUCUGCAACUGCAGCGGCAGCGCCAGCGGAGUAAGGAGGGAAGGCUAGGCAGAGCAAGGAAGGGAAAGGAUGACCAUGCCGCGGGGGCUGGCGGCGUACAUGGUGGACAUGGUGUGGGCGGUGCUCGCCGGGUGGGUGUCGGCGUGCCUGCUGGUCGCCAACGAGAUCGCCCGCGGCAUGCGUGCCGGGGAGAUCGGCCCCUUCGUUGUGGGGUGAAAAAUCUCGUUCCGGGUCCUCCCUUCUGAUUCAUUCCUUCGUGCAGAUAGUUUUUGGCGAAUCCGGCCAUGGAUACAUUGCAUCAUACUGUACAGACUCCAUAAAUCAACAUUAGUGUUCAGCUGAAUGGCUUCGGCCAUUAACAGAAGUGACAGAUUUCUAGAUGAUGUUUUAUUUUCUCUCCUUUCUUUCCACAAUUCUUCUGUUAUUUUCCUUUCACGUUAUAGUUCUCUAAAGGUAUGUGCAGCUGCAUAAGAAUGGGUCAUGCUAUGUUCGUUUCCCCUCUUUUGUAGAGCUAGUUUUGCGGCAUCCAUACAAUCUGCUGCAUGGCUAGCAACUGUGGAGAAAGAUGGGAGAAUUCAGAUCGCGUGGUGGACUCUACUAAUGUAGCCAUGUAGGCAACAAGGAUAGCUAGACAUAUUUCCAGGACAUGUAAUGUUAGUCUGUCAUACGACAUCUGUAUACUAAAACAAAAUAAAAAUUACAGGUUCAGUAACAGGACGAGAUUGCAAUACAGUACAUGUCUUUGUCCUGGCCAUCAACUUGUGUAAUCUGAUCAGGUUGUUCAAGGCCAGUUUGGCAGAAAUUACACUGAUAUGAAGUUCCAUACAUGUCAAAGACAUCUGCAGGUCUCUACAGAUCUCUCAGCCUGGCAGUUAUAUCAUCCACUGUGUUUGGCACCUGCAAGUACAAGGUUCGAGUGAGAACGGAUCAUGAGACGCAUCGAUGGAAUAACAGAUCCAUCGUACUCCACACAUACAAGCACAAGUUCAGCAGAGUGUAGGUGGAGAAGUGGAGUUUUUUUGUUCCACGUGGUCAUCCACUGUGUUUUCAUAGGUGGAGUACCAUUCUAGCUGACCAUAUGGUCCUAGCGAUGGACUGAACCUUAGUGCGUGGGAAAGGCCCCAUCAAUCCCUAAUGCUUUUGGAAGCAGGUUGAAAUAUUGGAACUAGAGAUACUUUGUCAUGAUCAAAAGGAGA